GACGAACGCUGGCGGCGUGCCUAAUACGUGCCAGUUGAGCGCUGAAGGUUGGUACUUGUACCAACUGGAUGAGCAGCGAACGGGUGAGUAACGCGUGGGGAAUCUGCCUUUGAGCGGGGGACAACAUUUGGAAACGAAUGCUAAUACCGCAUAAAAACUUUAAACACAAGUUUUAAGUUUGAAAGAUGCAAUUGCAUCACUCAAAGAUGAUCCCGCGUUGUAUUAGCUAGUUGGUGAGGUAAAGGCUCACCAAGGCGAUGAUACAUAGCCGACCUGAGAGGGUGAUCGGCCACAUUGGGACUGAGACACGGCCCAAACUCCUACGGGAGGCAGCAGUAGGGAAUCUUCGGCAAUGGACGAAAGUCUGACCGAGCAACGCCGCGUGAGUGAAGAAGGUUUUCGGAUCGUAAAACUCUGUUGGUAGAGAAGAACGUUGGUGAGAGUGGAAAGCUCAUCAAGUGACGGUAACUACCCAGAAAGGGACGGCUAACUACGUG
rnacentral:rRNA from 1 species